AGCGAACGCUGGCGGCAGGCCUAACACAUGCAAGUCGAACGAACUCUUCGGAGUUAGUGGCGGACGGGUGAGUAACACGUGGGAACGUGCCUUUUGGUUCGGAAUAACUCAGGGAAACUUGUGCUAAUACCGAAUGUGCCCUUCGGGGGAAAGAUUUAUCGCCAUUAGAGCGGCCCGCGUCUGAUUAGCUAGUUGGUGAGGUAACGGCUCACCAAGGCGACGAUCAGUAGCUGGUCUGAGAGGAUGACCAGCCACACUGGGACUGAGACACGGCCCAGACCCCUACGGGGGGGAGCAGGGGGGAAUUUUGCGAAAGGGGCGAAAGCCUGACGCCGCCAGGCCGGGUAAAGGAUAAAGGUCUUAGGUUUGUAAAAUUUUUUCCCCGGGGAGGAAAAGGCGGGUCCCGGGAAAAAAGGCCCCGGCUAACUUC
rnacentral:rRNA from 1 species